rnacentral:rRNA from 1 species
UUGAACGCUGGCGGCAUGCUUUACACAUGCAAGUCGAGCGGCAGCGCGGGCUUCGGCCUGGCGGCGAGUGGCGAACGGGUGAGUAAUACAUCGGAACGUGCCCAGUAGUGGGGGAUAGCUCGGCGAAAGCCGGAUUAAUACCGCAUACGACCUGAGGGUGAAAGCGGGGGAUCUUCGGACCUCGCGCUAUUGGAGCGGCCGAUGGCAGAUUAGCUAGUUGGUGGGGUAAAGGCCUACCAAGGCGACGAUCUGUAGCUGGUCUGAGAGGACGACCAGCCACACUGGGACUGAGACACGGCCCAGACUCCUACGGGAGGCAGCAGUGGGGAAUUUUGGACAAUGGGCGAAAGCCUGAUCCAGCAAUGCCGCGUGUGUGAUGAAGGCCUUCGGGUUGUAAAGCACUUUUGGCGGGAACGAAAAGGACUGUGCCAAUACCACGGUUCGAUGACGGUACCCGCAGAAUAAGCACCGGCUAACUACGUG